UAAGCUUACACUUAAGCUUAAUUUUCUUUACUCAACCUUAAUAACUCCCAUAAAAAGCUCACUAGAGCUUAUUAUCUCAACUCAAGAAGAAGAUUGAAAGAAGAAAGAAGAAGAAAAGAUAGAGAUUUGGAGUCCUAAGAAAGGUUAGUAUGCUAAUUUUUAAUUUUCUGCUUUAAGUGCAAGUUUAGUUACUUAAAUGAAUUUAGAAACUAAUGUAAUGAAAUAAAAAUAUGUGGGGAGGACCAAACUGAAAUUUCGGUCAGCUUGAUGGGGAGUAUGAUUUACAUAGUUUGAUGGAUUUGAAUGAGCUUAUGGACCUCCAAUAGUUGAAUGAUUAUGGUUGAGAGCUUUGAAAUUAGCUAAAUGCAAUUAAUUAGUGUGGUUAGGGUUUGAGACCUAGAGUUUUGAGGCAAAAAAUUGGAGAAAUGAGUAAAUGAUAUGUUUGACCUAUUGUGAAGUGAA
rnacentral:misc_RNA from 1 species